CGACGCCUCCGAAACCACCGGCGACGAACUCUCUUCCCCAGCUGGUCGCCAUAAACUCCGGCCAAAAAUCCAUCUCUCAAGGUCGUCCAAGGACGUAUAAACUGAGAGAGAGGAAUGAUCAUCACCAAAUCAAAUGGGGGAGGAGGCUUUUGGGGAUCACCAUUAUUCAUUAAUAGGAGUACUAACUUAGAAGGAAGAAGCAAAAAGACACAAAUACUAUCGUGGGGAAAGCUAGAGAUUGAGAUUGCACCGUCCUUGUCACACCAUCUCCCCCAACCCACUCUCGCCACCUACAUACAUACACAUCUCCUCCCAGUAUACAACUCUUUCUUUUCCUCUGUUUUUCCUUCACAACCAUGAUGAUGAUGAUCACACAUUAGCCUUAUUAUAUUUAAUACUAUCAUUUAGCAAUUGAUA